GACGAACGCUGGCGGCGUGCCUAAUACAUGCAAGUCGAGCGGACAGAUGGGAGCUUGCUCCCUGAUGUUAGCGGCGGACGGGUGAGUAACACGUGGGUAACCUGCCUGUAAGACUGGGAUAACUCCGGGAAACCGGGGCUAAUACCGGAUGGUUGUUUGAACCGCAUGAUUCAGACAUAAAAGGUGGCUUCCGCUACCACUUACAGAUGGACCCGCGGCGCAUUAGCUAGUUGGUGAGGUAACGGCUCACCAAGGCGACGAUGCGUAGCCGACCUGAGAGGGUGAUCGGCCACACUGGGACUGAGACACGGCCCAG
rnacentral:rRNA from 1 species